GGCCCGCGGCCUAUCAGCUUGUUGGUGGGGUAAUGGCCUACCAAGGCGACGACGGGUAGCCGGCCUGAGAGGGCGACCGGCCACACUGGGACUGAGACACGGCCCAGACUCCUACGGGAGGCAGCAGUGGGGAAUAUUGCACAAUGGGCGAAAGCCUGAUGCAGCGACGCCGCGUGAGGGAUGACGGCCUUCGGGUUGUAAACCUCUUUCAGCAGGGACGAAGCGAGAGUGACGGUACCUGCAGAAGAAGCACCGGCCAACUACGUGCCAGCAGCCGCGGUAAUACGUAGGGUGCGAGCGUUGUCCGGAAUUACUGGGCGUAAAGAGCUCGUAGGCGGUUUGUCGCGUCGUCCGUGAAAACUUGGGGCUCAACCCCAAGCUUGCGGGCGAUACGGGCAGACUUGAGUACUGCAGGGGAGACUGGAAUUCCUGGUGUAGCGGUGAAAUGCGCAGAUAUCAGGAGGAACACCGGUGGCGAAGGCGGGUCUCUGGGCAGUAACUGACGCUGAGGAGCGAAAGCGUGGGUAGCGAACAGGAUUAGAUACCCUGGUAGUCCACGCCGUAAACGGUGGGCGCUAGGUGUGGGUUUCCUUCCACGGGAUCCGUGCCGUAGCUAACGCAUUAAGCGCCCCGCCUGGGGAGU
rnacentral:rRNA from 1 species